GACGAACGCUGGCGGCGUGCUUAACACAUGCAAGUCGAACGGAAAGGCCCUGCUUUUGUGGGGUGCUCGAAUGGCGAACGGGUGAGUAACACGUGAGUAACCUGCCCUUGACUUUGGGAUAACUUCAGGAAACUGGGGCUAAUACCGGAUAGGAGCUCCUGCUGCAUGGUGGGGGUUGGAAAGUUUCGGCGGUUGGGGAUGGACUCGCGGCUUAUCAGCUUGUUGGUGGGGUAGUGGCUUACCAAGGCUUUGACGGGUAGCCGGCCUGAGAGGGUGACCGGCCACAUUGGGACUGAGAUACGGCCCAGACUCCUACGGGAGGCAGCUGUGGGGAAUAUUGCACAAUGGGCGGAAGCCUGAUGCAGCAACGCCGCGUGCGGGAUGACGGCCUUCGGGUUGUAAACCGCUUUCGCCUGUGACGAAGCGUGAGUGACGGUAAUGGGUAAAGAAGCACCGGCUAACUACGUG
rnacentral:rRNA from 1 species